rnacentral:rRNA from 1 species
GAUGAACGCUGGCGGCGUGCCUAAUACAUGCAAGUCGAGCGAACAGACGAGGAGAUUGCUCCUCUGACGUUAGCGGCGGACGGGUGAGUAACACGUGGAUAAACUACCUAUAAGACUGGGAUAACUUCGGGAAACCGGAGCUAAUACCGGAUAAUAUAUUGAACCGCAUGGUUCAAUAGUGAAAGACGGUUUUGCUGUCACUUAUAGAUGGAUCCGCGCCGCAUUAGCUAGUUGGUAAGGUAACGGCUUACCAAGGCAACGAUGCGUAGCCGACCUGAGAGGGUGAUCGGCCACACUGGAACUGAGACACGGUCCAGACUCCUACGGGAGGCAGCAGUAGGGAAUCUUCCGCAAUGGGCGAAAGCCUGACGGAGCAACGCCGCGUGAGUGAUGAAGGUCUUCGGAUCGUAAAACUCUGUUAUUAGGGAAGAACAAAUGUGUAAGUAACUAUGCACGUCUUGACGGUACCUAAUCAGAAAGCCACGGCUAACUACGUG